rnacentral:lncRNA from 1 species
CUGGCGAUGGAGGAGUUGCGGGACAUGGCCUUGGGGGACAGGUCGUAGUCGCUGUCGGAGCGGUAGAGGAAGGACUCGCGGCGCUGGCCGUGGCUGAAGGUGCCCUGCAGCACCAGCCCCGCGCCCGGGCUGGCCUGGGGGUCCAGCGCGCCCCUCCCCGGGAGGCCAUUCUCCAGGUCGAAGCUGCGAGGGGACAAGGGACAAAGCUGGCACGGGGCGGGUGGCCUCAGCACCUCGGCUGGGAGGCAGUGGGGACACCGCUGCUGUCCCCGUUCACAGCCUGGGCCGCCCCCCUCGGACACGGGGACACCGAGGGGACACCCCGCGGAGGGCAGCGACCCCCCCGAACCCCACAGCAAACAGCAGGGGACGUCCCCAGCGCUGCCACCAGCCGAGGACAAUGGUUUGUCCCCCAGCCCAGCUGCAGACAAUGGGAGCUUUGGGAUGUGGCACCGGGCUUGCCAGGCUCUCUGUCCCCCGGUCACGGCGCAGCCUGGUCCCUUCGCCCUAAAAUUCGGUGCUCGUGGAGCUGCCGGGUGGCACAGCGGGGUCCGGGCAGGUUGUCCCUUGUCACCAGGCUGGGACAGGGGCCCCAGUUCUCCCCACGGGGCUCCUGGCUCCAGAAAGCCUGGGGAGGGCCGGGUCACUCCCCGUGUCCCCAGCGCCGUGAUCCCCAAUCGCUGCGAGUCCUCGAAAGCCUCCGCCAGCUUCUGCUCGGGGAGCCGCGUCCCAUGGGGGACAGCGACGCGGCCGGGCGCCGAGCCAGGGGACAUCGAAGGACAGAAACCACCAAGGAAGCCAAGCUCUGGUCCUUGGGGACACGCUGGUGGUGGCCGGGUGCCACCCAGGGCAGAGCCACCCCGCAGCCGUGCGCACCCCGGGGCUCAAAGCAGGGGGAUGGGGGGGGGGGGACAUGGGGACAGAGGCGGUGGCCCUGCGGUGUCCCCUCAGCAGCUGCCACCCCGUUGGCCCCAGGGUCAUGGGAAAGGCUGCGCACGGGGACAAACCAAGGGCCACCCAGCGCCUGUCCCCUCCCGGAGCCGCCACGGCGAUGGGGACCUACCCGAUGCAGGAGUGCCUCCGGGACGGGCAGCGGCUCCCCGGCUGCAUGCCCCCGGCCCCGCUGCGCCCGGCGCCGCGUCCAGCCCUCCCCACAGCCCCUCGGCCUGCCUCUGCCUCGCGUCCCCGAUGGUACCGGGGACACAAAGCCCCAUUGUGGCUCCUCCAGCCCCGCGCGUGAAUUGUGGGUUUGUUCCCCCCCCCUUCCCGCUCUCCGGCCACCUCCGACCCCGCUGCCACCCCAGGGGACAGCCCCGACCCUGGGCACGGCGUCACCGGGAGGAUUGGUUGGGG